CGGAGGGUGCGAGCGUUGUUCGGAAUUAUUGGGCGUAAAGCGCGUGUAGGCGGCUCCUUAAGUCUGAUGUGAAAGCCCCGGGCUCAACCUGGGAAGUGCAUUGGAAACUGGGGAACUUGAAUACGGGAGAGGGUAGUGGAAUUCCUGGUGUAGGAGUGAAAUCCGUAGAUAUCAGGAGGAACACCGGUGGCGAAGGCGGCUACCUGGACCGAUAUUGACGCUGAGACGCGAAAGCGUGGGGAGCAAACAGGAUUAGAUACCCUGGUAGUCCACGCCGUAAACGAUGUGUACUAGGUGUUGCGGGUAUUGACCCCUGCAGUGCCGCAGCUAACGCAUUAAGUACUCCGCCUGGGAAGUACGGUCGCAAGACUA
rnacentral:rRNA from 1 species